UACGUAGGUGGCAAGCGUUGUCCGGAUUUACUGGGCGUAAAGAGCGCGCAGGCGGUCGUUCAAGUCGCGUGUGAAAGCCCCCGGCUCAACUGGGGAGGGUCACGCGAUACUGAUCGACUCGAAGGCAGGAGAGGGUAGUGGAAUUCCCGGUGUAGUGGUGAAAUGCGUAGAUAUCGGGAGGAACACCAGUGGCGAAGGCGGCUCACUGGACCACAACUGACGCUGAGGCACGAAAGCUAGGGGAGCAAACAGG
rnacentral:rRNA from 1 species